GGACAAGUUAUGGCUAGCUCAGAUGGUUAGAGUGCGGCGUUGAUCAUGCCAAAGUCACGGGUUCGAUGCCCAUGCUAUUCU